rnacentral:rRNA from 1 species
UUGCUCUCGGGUGACGAGCGGCGGACGGGUGAGUAAUGUCUGGGAAACUGCCUGAUGGAGGGGGAUAACUACUGGAAACGGUAGCUAAUACCGCAUAAUGUCGCAAGACCAAAGUGGGGGACCUUCGGGCCUCAUGCCAUCAGAUGUGCCCAGAUGGGAUUAGCUAGUAGGUGGGGUAACGGCUCACCUAGGCGACGAUCCCUAGCUGGUCUGAGAGGAUGACCAGCCACACUGGAACUGAGACACGGUCCAGACUCCUACGGGAGGCAGCAGUGGGGAAUAUUGCACAAUGGGCGCAAGCCUGAUGCAGCCAUGCCGCGUGUGUGAAGAAGGCCUUCGGGUUGUAAAGCACUUUCAGCGGGGAGGAAGGCGGUGAGGUUAAUAACCUCGCCGAUUGACGUUACCCGCAGAAGAAGCACCGGCUAACUCCGUGCCAGCAGCCGCGGUAAUACGGAGGGUGCAAGCGUUAAUCGGAAUUACUGGGCGUAAAGCGCACGCAGGCGGUCUGUCAAGUCGGAUGUGAAAUCCCCGGGCUCAACCUGGGAACUGCAUUCGAAACUGGCAGGCUAGAGUCUUGUAGAGGGGGGUAAAAUUCCAGGUGUAGCGGUGAAAUGCGUAGAGAUCUGGAGGAAUACCGGUGGCGAAGGCGGCCCCCUGGACAAAGACUGACGCUCAGGUGCGAAAGCGUGGGGAGCAAACAGGAUUAGAUACCCUGGUAGUCCACGCUCGUAAACGAUGUCGAUUUGGAGGUUGUGCCCUUGAGGCGUGGCUUCCGGAGCUAACGCGUUAAAUCGACCGCCUGGGGAGUACGGCCGCAAGGUUAAAACUCAAAUGAAUUGACGGGGGCCCGCACAAGCGGUGGAGCAUGUGGUUUAAUUCGAUGCAACGCGAAAACCUUACCUGGUCUUGACAUCCACAGAACUUACCAGAGAUGGAUUGGUGCCUUCGGGAACUGUGAGACAGGUGCUGCAUGGCUGUCGUCAGCUCGUGUUGUGAAAUGUUGGGUUAAGUCCCGCAACGAGCGCAACCCUUAUCCUUUGUUGCCAGCGGUCCGGCCGGGAACUCAAAGGAGACUGCCAGUGAUAAACUGGAGGAAGGUGGGGAUGACGUCAAGUCAUCAUGGCCCUUACGACCAGGGCUACACACGUGGUACAAUGGCAUAUACAAAGAGAAGCGACCUCGCGAGAGCAAGCGGACCUCAUAAAGUAUGUCGUAGUCCGGAUUGGAGUCUGCAACUCGACUCCAUGAAGUCGGAAUCGCUAGUAAUGGUAGAUCAGAAUGCUACGGUGAAUACGUUCCCGGGCCUUGUACACACCGCCCGUCACACCAUGGGAGUGGGUUGCUUAAAGAAGUAGGUAGCUUAAC